ACGCUAGCUACAGGCUUAACACAUGCAAGUCGAGGGGCAGCAUGGUCUUAGCUUGCUAAGGCCGAUGGCGACCGGCGCACGGGUGAGUAACACGUAUCCAACCUGCCGUCUACUCUUGGACAGCCUUCUGAAAGGAAGAUUAAUACAAGAUGGCAUCAUGAGUCCACAUGUUCACAUGAUUAAAGGUAUUCCGGUAGACGAUGGGGAUGCGUUCCAUUAGAUAGUAGGCGGGGUAACGGCCCACCUAGUCUUCGAUGGAUAGGGGUUCUGAGAGGAAGGUCCCCCACAUUGGAACUGAGACACGGUCCAAACUCCUACGGGAGGCAGCAGUGAGGAAUAUUGGUCAAUGGGCGAGAGCCUGAACCAGCCAAGUAGCGUGAAGGAUGACUGCCCUAUGGGUUGUAAACUUCUUUUAUAAAGGAAUAAAGUCGGGUAUGGAUACCCGUUUGCAUGUACUUUAUGAAUAGGGAUCGGCUAACUCCGUGCCAGCAGCCGCGGUAAUACGGAGGAUCCGAGCGUUAUCCGGAUUUAUUGGGUUUAAAGGGAGCGUAGAUGGAUGUUUAAGUCAGUUGUGAAAGUUUGCGGCUCAACCGUAAAAUUGCAGUUGAUACUGGAUAUCUUGAGUGCAGUUGAGGCAGGCGGAAUUCGUGGUGUAGCGGUGAAAUGCUUAGAUAUCACGAAGAACUCCGAUUGCGAAGGCAGCCUGCUAAGCUGCAACUGACAUUGAGGCUCGAAAGUGUGGGUAUCAAACAGGAUUAGAUACCCUGGUAGUCCACACGGUAAACGAUGAAUACUCGCUGUUUGCGAUAUACAGCAAGCGGCCAAGCGAAAGCGUUAAGUAUUCCACCUGGGGAGUACGCCGGCAACGGUGAAACUCAAAGGAAUUGACGGGGGCCCGCACAAGCGGAGGAACAUGUGGUUUAAUUCGAUGAUACGCGAGGAACCUUACCCGGGCUUAAAUUGCAGAUGAAUUACGGUGAAAGCCGUAAGCCGCAAGGCAUCUGUGAAGGUGCUGCAUGGUUGUCGUCAGCUCGUGCCGUGAGGUGUCGGCUUAAGUGCCAUAACGAGCGCAACCCUUGUUGUCAGUUACUAACAGGUUCCGCUGAGGACUCUGACAAGACUGCCAUCGUAAGAUGUGAGGAAGGUGGGGAUGACGUCAAAUCAGCACGGCCCUUACGUCCGGGGCUACACACGUGUUACAAUGGGGGGUACAGAGGGCCGCUACCACGCGAGUGGAUGCCAAUCCCAAAAACCUCUCUCAGUUCGGACUGGAGUCUGCAACCCGACUCCACGAAGCUGGAUUCGCUAGUAAUCGCGCAUCAGCCACGGCGCGGUGAAUACGUUCCCGGGCCUUGUACACACCGCCCGUCAAGCCAUGGGAGCCGGGGGUACCUGAAGUGCGUAACCGCGAGGAGCGCCCUAGGGUAAAACUGGUA
rnacentral:rRNA from 1 species